GCACGGGUGAGUAACACGUAUCCAACCUGCCGAUGACUCGGGGAUAGCCUUUCGAAAGAAAGAUUAAUACCCGAUGGCAUAGUUCUUCCGCAUGGUAGAACUAUUAAAGGAUUUCGGUCAUCGAUGGGGAUGCGUUCCAUUAGGUUGUUGGCGGGGUAACGGCCCACCAAGCCUUCGAUGGAUAGGGGUUCUGAGAGGAAGGUCCCCCACAUUGGAACUGAGACACGGUCCAAACUCCUACGGGAGGCAGCAGUGAGGAAUAUUGGUCAAUGGACGAGAGUCUGAACCAGCCAAGUAGCGUGAAGGAUGACUGCCCUAUGGGUUGUAAACUUCUUUUAUACGGGAAUAAAGUGAGGCACGUGUGCCUUUUUGUAUGUACCGUAUGAAUAAGGAUCGGCUAACUCCGUGCCAGCAGCCGCGGUAAUACGGAGGAUCCGAGCGUUAUCCGGAUUUAUUGGGUUUAAAGGGAGCGUAGGCGGACGCUUAAGUCAGUUGUGAAAGUUUGCGGCUCAACCGUAAAAUUGCAGUUGAUUCUGGGUGUCUUGAGUACAGUA
rnacentral:rRNA from 1 species